rnacentral:lncRNA from 1 species
AGCUGUAAUGGACUGAUGGUGGCGGCGGAGAGCUGUAAUGAACUGAUGGUGGAGGCGGAGAGCUGUAAACUGGAGGGGGUGGUGAGUACUCUAUGCAGGGAGGGGGUGGGGGUGGUUCGAUACAAGGUGGAGGUGGAGGAGGGGAAUAAUGAGGAGGCGGUGGUGGGGAAUGUGGUGGUGGUGGUGGUGGGGAGUGAGGAUACAUUGGUGGGGGAGGCGGCGAAUGGUGUGGUGGUGGUGGUGAAUUGUAGUAGUAUGGUGGAGGAGAAGAAUGAUGCGGCGGUGGUGGUGAAUUGUAGUAGUAUGGUGGUGGAGGUGAGUGAUGCGGCGGUGGUGGGGAAUUGUAGUAGUAUGGGGGAGGAGAUGAGUGAUGUGGUGGUGGUGGCGGAGGUGAGCUGUAAUAGUAUGGUGGGGGAGAAGAAUGGUGAGGUGGUGGUGGAGGUGAGUAAUGUGGCGGUGGUGGAGGUGAGGGGCACGGCGGUGGGGGAGGGCGAGUGCAAUAAAUUGGAGCUGGUGGUGGUGGAGAUGAAUAUACUGGCGGUGGCGGUGGCGAAGAGUAAACUGGUGGAGGCGGUGGUGGUGGUGGUGGUGGUGGAGGGGGAGAAUAAACUGGUGGAGGUGGAGGCGGUGGUGGUGGUGGUGGCGGUGGAGAGUAGACAGGUGGAGGUGGUGGCGGCGGUGAUG